rnacentral:rRNA from 1 species
UACGAAGGGGGCUAGCGUUGUUCGGAAUUACUGGGCGUAAAGCGCACGUAGGCGGCCUACUAAGUCAGGGGUGAAAUCCCGGGGCUCAACCCCGGAAUUGCCUUUGAUACUGGUAGUCUCGAGUCCGGAAGAGGUGAGUGGAAUUCCGAGUGUAGAGGUGAAAUUCGUAGAUAUUCGGAGGAACACCAGUGGCGAAGGCGGCUCACUGGUCCGGUACUGACGCUGAGGUGCGAAAGCGUGUGGAGCAAACAGG